GACGAACGCUGGCGGCGUGCUUAACACAUGCAAGUCGAACGGAAAGGCCCUGCUUUUGUGGGGUGCUCGAGUGGCGAACGGGUGAGUAACACGUGAGUAACCUGCCCUUGACUUUGGGAUAACUUCAGGAAACUGGGGCUAAUACCGGAUAGGAGCUCCUGCCGCAUGGUGGGGGUUGGAAAGUUUCGGCGGUUGGGGAUGGACUCGCGGCUUAUCAGCUUGUUGGUGGGGUAGUGGCUUACCAAGGCUUUGACGGGUAGCCGGCCUGAGAGGGUGACCGGCCACAUUGGGACUGAGAUACGGCCCAGACUCCUACGGGAGGCAGCAGUGGGGAAUAUUGCACAAUGGGCGGAAGCCUGAUGCAGCAACGCCGCGUGCGGGAUGACGGCCUUCGGGUUGUAAACCGCUUUCGCCUGUGACGGAGCGUGAGUGACGGUAAUGGGUAAAGAAGCACCGGCUAACUACGUG
rnacentral:rRNA from 1 species